UACGUAGGGUCCGAGCGUUGUCCGGAAUUAUUGGGCGUAAAGGGCUCGUAGGCGGUCUGUUGCGUCGGGAGUGAAAACUUACAGCUUAACUGUGAGCGUGCUUCCGAUACGGGCAGACUUGAGGUAUUCAGGGGAGAACGGAAUUCCUGGUGUAGCGGUGAAAUGCGCAGAUAUCAGGAGGAACACCGGUGGCGAAGGCGGUUCUCUGGGAAUAUCCUGACGCUGAGGAGCGAAAGCGUGGGGAGCAAACAGG
rnacentral:rRNA from 1 species